GGGUGUGAGUGACAUCUGUCACUCCUUUAUCAGCAGUGUGGAUUUAACUCACUUGCUAGCUGGGAAAGCAGCACCUUCCUCGCUGGCUAUUUCAUGUGUGCCCUGCCUCAAGGUGUAUGCUAAGGCAAAGUUGACCUUUUAGGCUAUGUCUGGACUCUUCUUCAGUCAAGAGUAUCUGAAUAGCUAAGUUAUUUUAGUGGAAACUCUGAAUAUGAAACUGCAAUUUAAAGCACGCAAACACCUACUUUCAUAGCUGAGAAAAGUGUAGAGUGU
rnacentral:sRNA from 1 species